CACGGGCCUGAGAGGAACAACUGAUAUUACUAUAGUAAGGAAUUUUACACUUUGUAGGUCCGAGUAAAAUAAUCCAAAGACCACUACAACGCUCAAAGAAAUAACACUUUUUUGAUAUUCCUACCUCACUACAAUAUCACUCACUCUCUAUAUUCCUCACGGACUAUUUUCUUAUACCUUGUCUGUGAAAUCUUACUCUUUUUU
rnacentral:lncRNA from 1 species